AUUCUUGACCCUUUAUCUACUAUUUUCAUGCAUCUCUAACCCAUGGUAUGUGUUUGUUUGCUACAAUGUGAUUGUAGGCGUCUCAUCUCUGCCAAGAUGCUAAAAUAGAUGUUUGGAAAUGUUAUGAUUCAUGUUGCCAAGGUUUACUUCCAAGAUCAUGCUAGCAGCUUCCCACUGGAAAUACCAUUUCUUAAAAAAAGAAGAGAAUGAGUAUCCAAGUCGCUUUUAUGUCAAAUACAGCUUGGACAAUUGCUGAGCUUUGCUGCAGACUAAAAAACUUUGAACCACUUCAAAUGGAAAGAAAAGGCCAUAAAUCUACCCAAACCAGGAUCCCUUGAUGACUCUGACAUUCUUGUGGAAGAGGUCUGAAUGCUUUCCAUCCUCACUGCUGUAAUGUUAAUUGUGGAGAAGAUGUAUAAUAAGAAAAUUAAUAUUAAGCUACAUACCUGCUAAAUGACCAGGAGCUGAGUUCACACGACUUGACCAGGCAACUGAUGCUGUGUGUAAUAUCAGAGUUCUGUCAGUCUUUAUCCAUGUGAAAGCAUGAAUUUGUUCCUCUUC